GGACUCCACUGCUAUCGGGGUAAGGCUAAGCCAUGCAAGUCGAAGGCCUCCGGCUCCGGGGGCCUGGCGUACGGCUGAGUAACGCGUGGCCAACCUGCCCUGCGGAGGGGGAUAACCCCGGGAAACUGGGGAUAAACCCCCAUAGGUGACCGGCUCUGGAAAGACCGGUCGCCGAAAGUCCCGGUCGGGGACGCUCCGGCCGGGAGCCGCAGGAUGGGGCUGCGUCCUAUCAGGUAGUUGGUGGGGAACGGCCCACCAAGCCUGUGACGGGUAGGGGCCCUGAGAGGGGGAGCCCCCAGAUGGACUCUGAGACAAGAGUCCAGGCCCUACGGGGCGCAGCAGGCGCGAAACCUCCGCAAUGGGCGAAAGCCCGACGGGGUUACCCCGAGUGCCACCCUCGUGGUGGCUUUUGCCCGCUCUAAAAAGGCGGGCGAAUAAGGGGAGGGCAAGUCGGGUGUCAGCCGCCGCGGUAAUACCCGCUCCCCGAGUGGUGGAGGCUAUUACUGGGCCUAAAGCGCCCGUAGCCGGCCCGGUGUGUCCCUCGUUAAAUCCACGGGCUUAACCCGUGGGCUGCGGGGGAUACUACCGGGCUUGGGGGUGGGAGAGGCGCCCGGUAUUCCCGGGGUAGGGUAAAAUCCUCUG
rnacentral:rRNA from 1 species